rnacentral:rRNA from 1 species
AAUCCUUAUUGGAGAGUUUGAUCCUGGCUCAGGACGAACGCUGGCGGCGUGCCUAAUACAUGCAAGUCGAGCG